rnacentral:lncRNA from 1 species
CCCAGGCUGGAGUGCAGUGGCAUGAUCUCAGCUCACUGCAACCUCUACCUCCUGGGUUCAAGCGAUUCUCCAGGCUUAGUCUCCCGAGUAGCUGGGAUUACAGGUGUGCACUACCACCCCCGGCUAAUUUUUUGUAUUUUUAGUAGAGACUGGCUUUCACCAUGUUGGCGAGGCUGGUCUCAAGCUCCUGGCCUCACGUGAUCCACUCGCCUUGGCUUCCCAAAGUGCUGGGAUUACAGGUGUGAGCCGCAGCACCCAGCCCAUAGCACGGUUUUGAUUCAACUUAAGAAAUUAGCUACCUCCUCUCCCAUCUUCCUCCUAUGUUAAGCAUUUGCAGUUGCUUCAGGCUUUAAAAUUGUUAUUUCAUUAAAUUAUGCUUUCAUGUAUUGUUAUAGGAGAUAUAACAAUAUAUUGCCAUGACAAAGCUAUUUUAUUGUUACAGAAGUUAGGAAUAUAUAAAGAAAAAAAAACAAUAAAAAAGAUAAAAUCCUCUGGAACACUCAAUUCCAGCUUCUUGUUUUUUACUUGAGAUGAGGGAACGUUGAGGCUAAUUUUUCUCUUUAUGUCAAUUUAAAGUAUAGUUUUCCUAGGACAGUUUUUCUAUUUCUUGAUCAUAGGAUCUACAGUGACUACAAUAACCAAGUGCUACAAAAACGCUGUGACGAGGAAUCUGAACAACAGAGAUUUGAGGGAAACAAAACACUUUCGACGAAGGUCCUGCUGCUUGUCUUCAGCUUGGUACCAAUUAGAGCUUCACUGGAGGUGAAAAGGGCAGACACGGUUGCUGAGUGGCUGGUUGGAGAGUCCCUGAGAGAUUACCCAAGAAACUCAGUUGCGGCACGUGGUGGAGCAGCCUCUCAGGUGAAAAUAAAUUCACACUGCACGUGGAUAUCUGCCUGGGAGUACUUGUCAUUCACUGCAUAGUUCAUCUCUAUGAAGAACCUGCGUAUUUCUUUGUCAAAUGAGAAACUGCAAAAUGGCAAGUGUUAUACUUUGUACAGACCAGCCCUGAGUUUUCUAAACCUGUUGUAAAGGUGGAGUCUGUAGAUGGUGGCGAGAAACUGUUUUGGCCUUUUAGGACAUCACAUUUUUCAGCUGUAGUCAAAGUUCAUCUGAAGUGGCUCCUGUUACUCCAGACCAAUUUUUAAUUGAUAUGCUCAGUCUAUUUUCUCUUUACCCCCAAGCAC